rnacentral:rRNA from 1 species
ACUGAGAAGAUAGUGGCGAACGGGUGAGUAACACGUGGGUAACCGUGCCCGAUAAGAGGGGGAGUAACAUCCGGAAACGGGUGCUAAUACCGCAUAGUUUUCGUUUGAUCGACAUGAUCGGGAAAGGAAAGACGGCCUUUGUGCUGUCGCUUAUGGAUGGACCCGCGGCGUAUUAGUUAGUUGGUGAGGUAACGGCUCACCAAGACGAUGAUACGUAGCCGACCUGAGAGGGUGAUCGGCCACAUUGGGACUGAGACACGGCCCAAACUCCUACGGGAGGCAGCAGUAGGGAAUCUUCCGCAAUGGACGAAAGUCUGACGGAGCAACGCCGCGUGAGUGAAGAAAAGGGUUUUCGGAUCGUAAAACUCUGUUGUCAGAGAAGAACAAGUUGGAGAGUAACUGCUCCAGCCUUGACGGUAUCUGACCAGAAAGCCACGGCUAACUACGUGCCAGCAGCCGC